AUUGAACGCUGGCGGCAUGCCUUACACAUGCAAGUCGAACGGCAGCACGGGGGCAACCCUGGUGGCGAGUGGCGAACGGGUGAGUAAUGCAUCGGAACGUGCCCAGUAGUGGGGGAUAACCCGGCGAAAGCCGGGCUAAUACCGCAUACGGCCUACGGGUGAAAGCGGGGGACCGUAAGGCCUCGCGCUAUUGGAGCGGCCGAUGUCUGAUUAGCUAGUUGGCGGGGUAAAGGCCCACCAAGGCGACGAUCAGUAGCUGGUCUGAGAGGACGACCAGCCACACUGGGACUGGGACACGGCCCAGACUCCUACGGGAGGCAGCAGUGGGGAAUUUUGGACAAUGGGCGCAAGCCUGAUCCAGCCAUGCCGCGUGCGGGAAGAAGGCCUUCGGGUUGUAAACCGCUUUUGGCAGGAACGAAACGGCGCAAGCUAAUACCUUGCGCUAAUGACGGUACCUGCAGAAUAAGCACCGGCUAACUACGUGCCAGCAGCCGCCGUAACAC
rnacentral:rRNA from 1 species